rnacentral:lncRNA from 1 species
GGACACAGACGUCAGCAGCUGCGAAGAGGCCUGGCCUGGCCGUGCUGCACCCUCAUCUCUGCCUUUCAGCCUCCAGAAUGGUGAGAAAGACACUUCCUUUGCUUAUCAGUCACCCAGUCUAGGGUUUUUGUUACAGCAGCCCAGAUGGACUAAGACCACCUGCUCAAUCGUUUGUUUCUCAGAUGAAUAAGAACUCUCUGCCAGGGAAGAGACCUUCCCCAAAACCCCUCACGGGGGACGCUGGUUUUAGUGAUGUCUGCUUUCUAAGUGAGAGCCAUGAUUCAGGAUUGGAGAUGGUGUUUCUUCUCAGUUCUUCGUCCCACAUUUACUUGCUUGGCAUCUGCUCUGUGCCUGGCACUGCACCGGGCACCCUUUAGAUAAGGAUGAGCCCUGAAAAGUGGGAGCAGACGGCUUAAUGGAGCCUCGUUGUGACUCACCCCAGUGGGAAGGUUGAGGCACCUGCCUCGGGGGAAUCCACAGCCAAGAUAAAGCAUCACCCACCAGGCGUGGGGAUGGUCGAGCGUCACCAGAAUGAUGCAGGGUGGAAGGCACACGCCACAGCUCCCUCACUCUAGAAGGAUGUUUUUGAGAAGUCUACCUGCUCCCCAGAGGCAUGGGGCAGCCUAGUUCUCUCUUCCCCUCUUUUCUUUCUUCGCUCUCAAUUCCCCAUCUGUGAGUCACUCGGUAUCAGUCCACUAAACUCUUCUCAGCCCAUGUCAGCAGGAACCAGCUGGCUUUGUGGGGGAAAAUACCAACCCAGCUGUCUGUACAAGGAUGGUAAGAAUUAGAACCUUGGGUCCCAUACCUCCAGCUCACAUCUGGAGAAACUGAAGGGGAGACUUUGAAAUUUGGGGUCAAGGAAGCCUUGUAGCUUUUUGAUUAACAGCACGAGUUCUUGAGUCACCUGGCCUGGAAGAAAAAGCCCGCCUCGGCCGUUUAGUUACUGAUUGAUUUCGACCCAUCACUUCACUCACCAAGCUUCAGCUCCUCCUCUCUGACUAUAGGACAAGAUCAGUACCACGCUCCUAAGGCCAGCGAUGCUGCAAAAUGCAUAAUAACCUUUGGUUGUUAUUUUAGUGAUGAUUCUUCUAGAUUUCUCCUGAGAAGUCAUGCAAAACAGGAAUGUGAAUUGCAAAAAAGAUGCUGAGCAGGAAGGCACCAAAGAAAGCCUUUCUCCAAAGGGGAUGUUUAUUUCAGAGGCACACAGGGGGAAGCUCCACCAGCUGUUUUCCAGGAAAUCAUCCACUUCACCCAGGGUGGGGAUAUGGACAAGACAGAGUCCCGGCCUCCCUGGGAAACUGGUGUGAGGAAGUCCAGUCAGCAACACAACUGAGAGAGACCCCGCCGUGCCCAGUAGUGCCAGGCAUAGUGAAGUUAAGGUGAUGGGGAGGGGUGACCAUUGGAGGUGAAGGGACCUGAGAGUGGAGACCAGGACAGGGGAUGGGAAAGCCAAGUCCCUGAGGAAGGGAUGAGCUUAAUAAGUUUGAGGAACAGAAAAAAGGUGACUCCAGAAGGCUUGCCCACAGCUGGGUCUUACAAGGGAUGGAAGCCCUUAGACCUCGAGGAGGGAUCGUGUGGCCUCCUGAUUUCCGUUUUUAUAGGCAGCUUUGGAGGAUGGAUUAGCAGGAGAGGGAGGCGAGCGCUGGAGUAGGAAACCCAACUGGCAGCCGGUCCACCGCUGUCCAGCAAAUCCGGUGUUGACUCGGAAGGUCAGUGGAGACGGAGGGAGUUGAGAGAUGUGGGAUCUGCUUUGGAGGCAGAGACAACAGAAUGGGAGAAAGGAAUCCAGGAUGACGCCGACGUCUUGGGGAGGCACUGCUGAGGAGUGUGAGUGAGGUCCCGCCUGACCCCAGCUAGUGGGCUGCUGCCUUCUUCUGGCUUCCGUGAGUCAAAGGGACAUGAAAACCACAACAUGAGGUUUAACUGCGAAGCCCCGCUCCCCGCCCAUCCCCUUCGCCUCUUGAGUUUCAUUUUACUGGUCCCGUCCCAACAGAUGGCUCUUCUUAAAGCAGCAUCGCCAGUGUGUAAUUCUUCUUAAUGACAGGAGAGCCAAUUUUAUUCUCUCCUGGAAAUUAAUUUCUCUUCCAUUUCUCUCUUCCCCUCCACCCCUCUCUCUGUUCCUGUGAUGAUUUCUUUCGGAAAUAAUUCCCCUUGCACGCGACCUCCACAAACCUCUGAAUCCCCGCAGAUGGAGCAAGGCUGCUCUUGCGAGGGAACGGAGGGCAGGAGGCAUGUCCUGUGCUCUGCAGUUUUGUUCCUGGAGGAGGAGGACAUGGGGACAGCUCUAGGACUAAGGGUUCAUCUUUUCAUCUAUGUUUACUUCUCAGGAGACCCCAGCCCCAUGGUCUUAAAUUUUUCAUUGAAGUAUAGUUGGUUUACAAUGUUCCUUCAGUUUCUACUGUACAGCAAAGUGACCCAGCCACACACACACACACACACACAUUGUUUUUUUUUUUUUUUUUCUUCAUACUAGCUACUAUGUUUUUUGCCUCCUUGGCUCUGCACAUGUGUUCUCUACAUAAUAUUAAACAGUAACCUUUGUGUCUCCCACAUUCUGGGGUGCUCCAGACACACACACCACAUUUUUCAACCACGCACACAUGCACGCACAAGAGUGGAACCCGUACUGGCUGACCCAGGGCAAAAUCAAACAACUUUUAACUGCUAAGUUGACUUUACCUUUUUUAACACCUUAAUUGAGACAUAAUUUACGUGCCAUAAAAUUCACCCAUUUUAAGUGUGUGAUUCAAUGGCUUUUUAAGUUUACUGAGUUGUAUCCUGGCUGUUUUCUUUCUUGCAAACGGAGCCACUGGAUGAACACUCUCACCCCCUGAGCUCCCUCCCCACUUGGAAAUGUGACAGUUAAAGAGCAGGUUCUGUUUCACCCCCCCCCCAAGUAGUUUUUAUUCAUUCUGCCAUUUACAACUUACUUCCUGUGUUUUGAUUCUGAGCUGCUCAGGCCUACUUCUUAGAAGCCAAGUGGAUUAGUUUUUACACUGUCAAGAAGUUUCUCUUGUGUCAGAGGAGUUUUCUGGGUUUUUUGUUUGUUUUGUUAAUCUUCAGAUCUUUGCUU